AUAGGAUUAGUCUUAUCAGAGAUUCUUGCCAUCUUCAGUGUUGGGUUUGGUUUCUUAGUUCAUCACUCUAACGACCCCAUUGAGAAAUCUCACAAUAUAAUUAAAUUAUAAACGUUCUUCUAUCUAAAAUUAAUAAAUUUUAUCGAAUACAGAAGAUUUGAAUAGGUAAAUGAUUUUGUUAACUCGUUUUUUAAUUUUUUUAAUAUUGGACAUAAGCCACCACAAUCAAAUAAAGCAUAUGGUAUUUUGUUAAUUAUUUUUAAGGUUUUUAGAUUUUUAACAUAUUUUGUAUUGUUUAAACAUUUUUUUUUAAUUUUGGAAAACAAUACCAUGAAUUUUACACAAACAAUUCAUCCCAAUAAGUUCGGUCUGCCUAUCCUUGCAGGUUUGGUGUGUCAGAGACUUCUUGCCAUCUUCAGUGAUGGGCUUGGGGUCUUGGUUCAUAACUUUAACCCAUUGAGAAAUCUCACAAUAUAAUUAAAAAACAAUACCAAGAAUUUUACAUAAACAAUUCCUUUAUAAUAUCAUUUUCCCCAAUAAGUUCGGUCUGCAUAUUCUUGCAGGUUUGGUCUGUCAAAGACUUCUUGCCAUCUUCAUUAUUGGGUUUGGAGUCAUGGUUGAUAAAGUUAACCCAUUGAGAAAUCUCACAAUAUAAUUAAGUUUGAUCUGUCAGAGACUUCUUGCCAUCUUCAGUAUUGGGUUUGGAGUCAUGGUUCAUAAUUUUACUGACUUCAUUGAGAAAUCUCAAAAUAUAAUUAAAUUAUAAACAUUCUUCUAGCUAAAAUUAAUAAAUUUUAUUGAAUACAGAAGCUUUGAAUAGUUAAAUGAUUUUGUUACCUCCCAUUUUUUAGUUUAUAGAUUUUUUAAUAUUGAACAUAAGCCAUCAC